rnacentral:rRNA from 1 species
UACGUAGGGUGCGAGCGUUGUCCGGAAUUAUUGGGCGUAAAGAGCUCGUAGGCGGUCUGUCGCGUCGAUCGUGAAAACUUGGGGGCUUAACCCUGAGCUUGCGGUCGAUACGGGCAUGACUGGAGUUCGGCAGGGGAGACUGGAAUUCCUGGUGUAGCGGUGAAAUGCGCAGAUAUCAGGAGGAACACCGGUGGCGAAGGCGGGGUCUCUGGGCCGAUACUGACGCUGAGGAGCGAAAGCGUGGGGAGCGAACAGG